GACGAACGCUGGCGGCGUGCUUAACACAUGCAAGUCGAACGGGAUUUAGUAGACAGAAGCCUCGGCUACAGAUUACUAAUGAGAGUGGCGAACGGGUGAGUAACGCGUGAGCAACCUGCCUAUGACAGUGGGAUAGCCUCGGGAAACCGGGAUUAAUACCGCAUAAAAUCGUAGAAACACAUGUUUUAACGGUCAAAGAUUUAUCGGUCAUAGAUGGGCUCGCGUCUGAUUAGCUAGUUGGUGAGAUAACAGCCCACCAAGGCGACGAUCAGUAGCCGGUCUGAGAGGAUGAACGGCCACAUUGGAACUGAGACACGGUCCAAACUCCUACGGGAGGCAGCAGAGGGGAAUAUUGCACAAUGGGGGAAACCCUGAUGCAGCGACGCCGCGUGAACGAAGAAGGUAUUCGUAUCGUAAAGUUCUGUCCUAUGGGAAGAUAAUGACAGUACCAUAGAAGAAAGCUCCGGCUAAAUACGUG
rnacentral:rRNA from 1 species